rnacentral:piRNA from 1 species
UGGAGGUUGCUAACAAGUAGGUUGUUUGG